AAAAAGAUAAGCUAAUAAAGCUACUGGGUUCAUACCCCAAUCAUGGGGGCAUAAAUCCCCCUCUUUUUA
rnacentral:tRNA from 1 species